AGCGGAGACGACAACGGAGAAAAAGCGGGGGCACGGACAGACAGUCAGACAACCCGGAGUCGCCUCGGGGCUCCUAGACCUCGACCUCCGGCGUCCCAUCACCAGGCAUGCCGGAGUCGCCCUCAGUCCACUUGAGGGAGCCCCGCGAUCCCGUUAGGAAACAACGGAGGAUGGGGCUGACCGACCCAAGCCGGGCUCCCCGUGCCUGGCCAAGCGCUCCCCUACCCUGGAUAGCCUGCCAGCUUUUCCCAGGACCCUGCCUGAGAGACACCCACCUGCCCGGCCUUUCGGGGCUCAUCUAAAAGGCUCCUCCGCCAAGACUAGGGGACACCAGGAAUUAGGUUUGUUUGCGGUGCCUCAGAAGGGGCAAGAUGGCGACAGAUACCAGAGCGCAGGCGCAGGCGCGCGCGGCUCGCCGGGAGGUGUAGUUCGCCUUUCCCGCCUUUUGAGAAACGAGCACUCAAAAGCCUCCAUUCUUCCUGUCCCUUUUCCUCUGCCUUUUGAAAGGAAAGGGCGGACAACGCGGGUCCUAGUGGGAGUUGUAGUCCGAGUCCAACCUCGCUCCUCUUUCUCUUGCUGCUUGCUGGUCACAUGCGCAAGGAAGUCUGGGAGUGUAGUUCCUUUCGGCUUCUACAUUACCCUCCAGUCUCCAGCUUCGCGCGCCUAUCCUCCGGUCUUUCCCAGCCAAUCAGCUGCUCUUUCGGCUGUACGUGUGGCGUCACACGUAGCGGUCAAGAUGGCGUCUGUAAUUGGAGCUGAGCUUCGACCUUUUCACUCUAGCGAGGGUUGGGAUGAAAAGAACACAGCUUGGUCCCUGAUGCCCAGUUGAGGAUUAAGAUCUGGUUCCGUAGACGCUUGGGAGUAGUCAUCAGCGUCUUCCAGCCACCCAAACGACAACUCAAGAAAGGUUAUCCACUACGGAGAGAGAAGACCUCACAGUGGCCCGUACACCUUUCUCGGUGUUAGGAGUUGCAAGUGGAGGAAAGGAAUCCGAGCGGUCUCAGCUUGGAGUUACGCCAUGUACGAAGUAGGAGAGGUAGUGAUAUCUCGUGCAAAAUCUGACAAAGGGAAGAAGGGACUUACUUGAGGCACUACGACAUGGUAGGUUCACCAUCAGCCUUUGUUCUUAACCACACAAUGUUGUGGAGGCCUUGUGCCCCUAUUUUACAGAUCGAUAGGGACCCAAUAUAUUGUUUCUCUGAUCCAAGAACUCAAAGUUAAUUUCUAGUAUUAUAAAUCCCAUCGAAUUUUGUUGUGUCCUCCCUCUAAAUAAAGAACUCUGGUAGCAUCGGAUGCAAUGAAAGUGCAAAUCUUGAGGAAUUGUUAGUGUGCAUCCUUCUGUUAGCAGAUUCCCGUGAAAACUAGGGUAACCACUGGGAGGACAUCUAGCUCAAUGGCAGAUUGCUUGUCAAGUAUGUGCAAGACCUGGAGACCUGAAUCGGAUUCCUAGCACUAAGGGAUGUUAGGAUGGACACACGAGAAAAACUACCCUGUGGGAAUAUUAAGAUACACAACGUGAAUGAAAGUUCUUUUCCUAGUUCAUUAUGAAUUACAUUUAUAAUCUCAGCACUGUAGAAGUGGAAGAAGAUGAGGAAUGCAGGGUCAGACUGGACUGCAAGAGACACCGAGACC
rnacentral:lncRNA from 1 species